UCGACGAAUACUUAGUCAAGAUCAUUGCUAUAGUAUUUGUGAUGUUUUAUUGUUAUAAAUAAACAGAUUAUCAAAAGUGAUGAUGAAAAGGCGCGGCUCAAAAAAUGAAAAUAUUUCGAUUUCUUUCAAGAUCUAACGAAAUUGUUAGGAAUCCGAAAAAUAGAUGAUAAAUUUUGGUGAAUAAUAGAUUCUUCUUUUAUUCUCUGAAAAAUUCAAGAGCUUGUCGCCAGCUGAACUUAA
rnacentral:snoRNA from 1 species